GGUUAAAAAGCUCGUAGUUGGUUCUGCGUGCCACGCUGUCGGUUCACCGCCUGCCGGUGCAACUGGCAUGCCGUGGCAUGUCCUGUCGGUGGCGGAUAGGCUUCGCGGCGUGCCCUAUGCGGUAUACCAGCGUGUAGGUUGCUGCGCCGCGUUGUCCUUGUACGCCGGCUCAAUCCUACCGCGGUGCUCUUUACCGAGUGUCGAGGUAGGCCGACACUGUUUACUUUGAACAAAUUAGAGUGCUUAAAGCAGGCUCUUAAAUCAGCCUGAAUAGUGGUGCAUGGAAUAAUGGAAAAGGACCUUGGUUCUAUUUUGUUGGUUUCCGGAAUCCAAGGUAAUGAUCAAUAAGGACAGGCGGGGGCAUUCGUAUUGCGACGUUAGAGGUGAAAUUCUUGGAUCGUCGCAAGACGCACUAGAGCGAAAGCAUUUGCCAAGUAUGUCUUAAUUGAUCAAGAACGAAAGUUAGAGGCUCGAAGGCGAUCAGAUACCGCCCUAGUUCUAACCAUAAACGAUGCCAGCCAGCGAUCCGCCGACGUUCCUCCGAUGACUCGGCGGGGAGCUUUCCCCGGGAAACCAAAAGCUUUUGGGUUCCGGGGGAAGUAUGGUUGCAAAGCUGAAACUUAAAGGAAUUGACGGAAGGGCACCACCAGGAGUGGAGCCUGCGGCUUAAUUUGACUCAACACGGGAAACCUCACCAGGCCCGGACAUUGGAAGGAUUGACAGAUCGAUAGCUCUUUCUCGAUUCAGUGGGUAGUGGUGCAUGGCCGUUCUUAGUUGGUGGACUGAUUUGUCUGGU
rnacentral:rRNA from 1 species